GCUUAUGCGUUGUUGGGUAGGGGAGCGUUCUGUAAGCCUGUGAAGGUGUGUCGUGAGGCAUGCUGGAGGUAUCAGAAGUGCGAAUGCUGACAUAAGUAACGAUAAAGCGGGUGAAAAGCCCGCUCGCCGGAAGACCAAGGGUUCCUGUCCAACGUUAAUCGGGGCAGGGUGAGUCGACCCCUAAGGCGAGGCCGAAAGGCGUAGUCGAUGGGAAACGGGUUAAUAUUCCCGUACUUGGUGUUACUGCGAAGGGGGGACGGAGAAGGCUAUGUUGGCCGGGCGACGGUUGUCCCGGUUUAAGCGUGUAGGUGUGUGUUCCAGGUAAAUCCGGUUCACUUUAACACUGAGGCGUGACGACGAGGCACUACGGUGCUGAAGCAACAAAUGCCCUGCUUCCAGGAAAAGCCUCUAAGCAUCAGGUAACAUCAAAUCGUACCCCAAACCGACACAGGUGGUCAGGUAGAGAAUACCAAGGCGCUUGAGAGAACUCGGGUGAAGGAACUAGGCAAAAUGGUGCCGUAACUUCGGGAGAAGGCACGCUGACACGUAGGUGAAGUGAUUUACUCAUGGAGCUGAAGUCA
rnacentral:rRNA from 1 species